CAUGCCGCGUGUGUGAAGAAGGCCUUCGGGUUGUAAAGCACUUUCAGUAGGGAGGAAGGCUUAGGGCUAAUAACCCUGAGUACUUGACGUUACCUACAGAAGAAGCACCGGCUAAUUUCGUGCCAGCAACGUCGGUGACUGAGCGGGCUGGCAAGGCGCAUA
rnacentral:rRNA from 1 species